ensembl:lncRNA
GGCUACGGUAGCGCAAGAGGAACCUACAGACCGUACAUGGACAGACGAGGACACGAGGGCCUUAAUCCCGUGGCGGUCGGUGCACAAAUCCCUCUUCACGGGGAAGAGGAACGCCUCCGUGACUGGAUUUGAGGUCUUCAUAAAGGAGAGCGGGCUUGGGAGGUUGGAUCCCAAGCUCGUGAAAAAGAGGUGGGAGAACCUCAUCCACAAAUAUAAGAGACGUUUCCUGGAGGUGCUGGUGCUGGUUCUGGUGCUGGCUGGUCCUCUGCUGCCCUCCCGACAUCUGCAUCUGGCUCCAGCAGGUCACCGUUGGUGAGGCAGAUGUUGUGGAGCACAGUGCAGCAGACAAUGACCUCUGGCACAAACCUCACAUCCACCUCCAGGGCCUUCAAGAAGAUGGACCGCCAUCGCGUCUUCAGUAUCCCAAAGGACCUCUCCACAACACACCUCGCCUUUGACAGGCAGCAGUUGUAGCGUGCUUGGAGGUGGUUGCGGACAGGCUGCCUGAAGGGGGUCAUGAGGCAGAUGGGUUGGGACAGGCAGGGGUAGCCACCAUCCCCAAGGAUACAGUAUCCUGGUGGAGGGUAUGACUGCUC